UGGGGAAUAUUGGACAAUGGGCAAAAGCCUGAUCCAGCCAUGCCGCAUGAGUGAAGAAGGCCUUUGGGUUGUAAAGCUCUUUUAGUGAGGAAGAUAAUGACGGUACUCACAGAAGAAGUCCUGGCUAACUCCGUGCCAGCAGCCGCGGUAAUACGGAGAGGGCUAGCGUUAUUCGGAAUUAUUGGGCGUAAAGGACGCGUAGGCUGGUUAGUAAGUUAAAAGUGAAAUCCCGAGGCUUAACCUUGGAACUGCUUUUAAAACUGCUAACCUAGAGAUUGAAAGAGGAUAGAGGAAUUCCUAGUGUAGAGGUGAAAUUCGUAAAUAUUAGGAGGAACACCAGUGGCGAAGGCGUCUAUCUGGUUCAAAUCUGACGCUGAGGCGCGAAGGCGUGGGGAGCAAACA
rnacentral:rRNA from 1 species